rnacentral:lncRNA from 13 species
CUGGCACAGCUGCUGGCCAGUGAGAGGCACUCCCUGCAGGGACAAGGAAGGACGAGGCGCACAGGGUUCCUCAUUAGGCUGCCUUCUCCAGAUGCUCAAUGAUGAGCCAAACCCGAGGAAGGGUCCUCAGCACCCAGGCCCAUGCUGGCUUCACCUGGCAGGAACACCCACUGCAAGGGGGACAGUCAGCCCCCUCCCAGCCCAGCAACCUGGUUCCAGCGGCCCAGUUGGUCAGCUCCCCCAGCAUGGCCAGCUUGUUCUUUCCCACCCUGUCCUGGUGGGGCUGUCUGUGAAAACACCUACCCUGGGGGUGCUCAGGGUGUGUCUAGCCUGGCCCUUGCUCAGGGAGGACCCCCCCAUUCCUGGUGAUUCAUAGAAUGGAAUUCUAUGCCCCAGUUCCCGACCGACCUAAAUGUGGGGGGCCCUUGGUUCCCCUGGUAUCAUUUUGAAAAGAGCUGCUGGGUCCGUGUCCCUUCUGACUGUGUCCUGGACAUCCCUGGGACCACGGGACAGGCCUAGCCCAGGAAGUCCAUGGGGACCCUGACACCGGGCCCUGCCCAGGCCUAUCAGGACUAAGAGGAAGGUCGGGAGAUAUCCCCACUGCAACAUGGGCACCUGUAUUUGGCCCCUUCACCAAAUGACUGUGACUGGAAGGAGCCAGGGGGGCACCCCACAGGCUCCCAGCCCUAAUCCUAACACUAACCCUGACCCUGACCCUGACCCUAAUCCUAACCCUAACCCCACAGCCCCAGACACCUUGGAAAAUCCCAUUCAAUGGGG